rnacentral:rRNA from 1 species
UGGGGAAUAUUGGGCAAUGGGGGAAACCCUGACCCAGCAACGCCGCGUGAAGGACGAAGGCCUUCGGGUUGUAAACUUCUUUGAUCAGGGACGAAACAAAUGACGGUACCUGAGGAACAAGCCACGGCUAACUACGUGCCAGCAGCCGCGGUAAUACGUAGGUGGCAAGCGUUAUCCGGAUUUACUGGGUGUAAAGGGCGUGUAGGCGGUCUUGCAAGUCGGAAGUGAAAUUCCCGGGCUUAACCCGGGCGCUGCUCCCGAAACUGCGAGACUUGAGUACUGGAGAGGAUAGUGGAAUUCCUAGUGUAGCGGUAAAAUGCGUAGAUAUUAGGAGGAACACCAGUGGCGAAGGCGGCUAUCUGGACAGUAACUGACGCUGAGGCGCGAAAGCGUGGGGAGCAAACAGG